rnacentral:rRNA from 1 species
GAUCAUGGCUACAGAACGAACGCUGGCGGCAGGCUUAACACAUGCAAGUCGAACGCGAAAUCACCUUCGGGUGGUGGAGAGUGGCAGACGGGUGAGUAACGCGUGGGAAUCUACCUGAUGGUACGGAAUAACUCAGGGAAACUUGAGCUAAUACCGGAUGUGCCCGAGAGGGGAAAGAUUUAUCGCCAUCAGAUGAGCCCGCGUCGGAUUAGCUAGUUGGUGGGGUAAAAGCCCACCAAGGCGACGAUCCGUAGCUGGUCUGAGAGGAUGAUCAGCCACACUGGGACUGAGACACGGCCCAGACUCCUACGGGAGGCAGCAGUGGGGAAUAUUGGACAAUGGGCGCAAGCCUGAUCCAGCCAUGCCGCGUGAGUGAUGAAGGCCCUAGGGUUGUAAAGCUCUUUCGACGGGGACGAUAAUGACGGUACCCGUAGAAGAAGCCCCGGCUAACUUCGUG